rnacentral:SRP_RNA from 1 species
GCCAGGCGCGGUGGUGCAUGCCCAUAGUCCCAGCCACUUGGGAGGCUGAGACUGGAGGAUCACUUGAGUCCAGGAGUUCUGGGCUGUAGUGUGCUAUGCCAAUCGGGUGUCCACACUAAGUUCGGUAUCAAUAUGGUGACCUCUCGGGAGCGGAGGACCACCAGAUUGCCUAAGGAGGGGUGAACUGGCUCAGCUCAGAAACAGAGCAGGUCAAAACUCCCGUGCUGAUCAGUAGUGGGAUCAGGCCUGUGAAUAGCCACUGCAUUCCAGCCUAGUCAACAUAGUGAGACCCCACCUCU